rnacentral:rRNA from 1 species
CACGUAGGGGCCAAGCGUUGUCCGGAUUUAUUGGGCGUAAAGAGCUCGUAGGCGGCUCAGUAAGUCAGGUGUGAAAACUCCAGGCUCAACCUGGAGACGCCAUCUGAUACUGCUGUGGCUAGAGUCCGGUAGGGGAGCAUGGAAUUCCUGGUGUAGCGGUGAAAUGCGCAGAUAUCAGGAGGAACACCGGUGGCGAAGGCGGUUCUCUGGGCCUUACCUGACGCUGGAGGAAGCGAAAGCGUCGGGGAGCAAACAGG